UGGGGAAUAUUGCACAAUGGGCGCAAGCCUGAUGCAGCCAUGCCGCGUGUAUGAAGAAGGCCUUCGGGUUGUAAAGUACUUUCAGCGGGGAGGAAGGCGUUAAGGUUAAUAACCUUGGCGAUUGACGUUACCCGCAGAAGAAGCACCGGCUAACUCCGUGCCAGCAGCCGCGGUAAUACGGAGGGUGCAAGCGUUAAUCGGAAUUACUGGGCGUAAAGCGCACGCAGGCGGUUUGUUAAGUCAGAUGUGAAAUCCUCGGGCUCAACCUGGGAACUGCAUCUGAUACUGGCAAGCUUGAGUCUCGUAGAGGGGGGUAGAAUUCCAGGUGUAGCGGUGAAAUGCGUAGAGAUCUGGAGGAAUACCGGUGGCGAAGGCGGCCCCCUGGACGAAGACUGACGCUCAGGUGCGAAAGCGUGGGGAGCAAACAGG
rnacentral:rRNA from 1 species